GCUCUGCACUUGACUGGUGCGCGUUCUGUCUCUUCAUCCCCCUCUCCCUCCCUUUCUCUAUUGGCAUUGGCUUCCAAAGGGAUCGUCCUCGUGCAUGGGGCUUGGGCUUCCAGUCAUCCUUGCCUUAAUGCCAAUCGUAUAGAAGAGGCACAGUCAUGGGAGAAGAUGCAGGUUACCCCAGGCAGAGGCAGAGCCGGUGGAAUGCGAUGAGCUUUUCGGGCAUCGGCGACCCAUUUGCUGGGGGUUUGCGAAUCCGAGGAGCCUAAUGUCGGAUCUCUACCAUCAGACGAAGGCGUUUGAAGAUCGUCUGAUCGGCAGCUUUAAACGGUCUGUCGCAUCAUAUGAACCCCUUCGCAGCCUGCUCGCCUACCCGGCAAGCUAUCGGACGGUCUGAUUUUAGCGCCCCUUCAACUCUUCGCCGGAGCCAGCCGGAGUAGUCGUUAGAGGUAAACGCGGCGAGGAACCGAGUGGCCCAUUCCCUUGUUCGUCACAAAGAAUGCGAAGAGCACCAUGGCCAGGAGCAAUGCUAAGAGCACGAGCAUCCCUACAAGCGCUGUAAAAGAGGCCAUGGUCGAGUCACAGCGGCUUUGGCGUUAUGGUGGUUAAGGUGACAAAGUCGUGAUGUUGGUGGCAGCGUUGACAAAGUGGUGGUGGCGUGAUAUUCUCAAAGUCGGUAAAAAAUAAAUUACUUUUACUUAAAUUGUUUAAAGUUUAUGGAAGAAAUAAACAUAGAAAAUGCCUAAAACUACGGGAUAAAUAAAAACAAACCUAAGCUUUUUAUAUUGUUAGAAAACACACUUUAAUUUUGUGGUUAAUUGAAAAAAAAAACAUAAGUUUAUUUAUGUUAAAGUAAAUGUUAAGUCAGUUGUUACCUUUGAAAAGAGCUUGACAAAUGUAUCUGGCAUUGCAAGUGCACCUUAACUUUUCUCGUAUAACUUCUAGCAUUAAUGAGGAAAGACUCAUCUGGCUGUUUUUUUAUAUAGUUAAAAAGAUAAUUAAUCUGGAUAUAGUGAAACCUGACUUAACAAUAUUAUUUGAUUAGUUAAAAUUCCUAGCUCGAACUAACCAGCAUGAAAUUUGUUUAUAUUAUUGAUAUUUUUGUUUGUUUAACUCAUUAAUGUAACUUAAGUUAGUGAUCAGUUAGGUUUUAAGUAUUUUUGAAAAUGUACAAAGUGAAUCACGAAGUGAAUCGCCAAACCAUGGUCACGAAGUGAAAAUGAUGAGCUGCUGCGGGGAGAGGGGGGUCAAGAAGAAGUGGGGGUAAGGAAGUUCAGGCUUCAGAAGGGAGGUGUCCGACAGUCCGAGGAAUGGAUGAGUCGGAAAGGUGAUGUUGCAAUUCCGCAGCCAAUUGGCAAGGGGCGCACUUGUUUUCGAGGUGGAUCUCCAUGCAGUGGAAGUGGUCAAAGAAAGAUAUUGCUGUGGCUAGCAGGGGAGCUAGGCAAAAACAAUGGCCUUGGGAGAGAGAAAAAAAAAGAAAAAAGGUAAGGAAAAGAAAUAUUAUAAUGAUGAAUGAAAAGAAGAAUUUGGCAAACCUAUUUGGUGUUUUUGACUAAUUCCUAUGGUACUCACCUUGAUUUAUAUUUUUA